UCCCGCACAAACAAAAACAAUCACUACUUCUUCCUCGUCCCCUCCCUCUCUCUCUGAUGUGAGAUGAGAUGAAUCUCCACACUCUCACUGGCACACUCUUCUAAUUCCACAUUCCUUCUUCAAACCCUAAUCUCCAAUUUCUCUUCCCAUUCCUCCCUCCCUUCCUUCAAUGGCCUCCAAGGUCCCCGACGAAGGUUCUAAUACCAAGACAGAGGACGAAAACCUCGCUCUCCGCACCAAGAACAAACGCUCUCGCCGAGUCAGCUUCGCCGACACCGAGAUCACUUCCGUCCACUUUUUCCACCGGGAUGAGGACUACGAGACGCCUCCUGACUCCAAGCCUAGCUCUCGGACCAUCGACGCCGCGUUGGAGCCUGACAACGAGGUCAUCGGAUUUUUCAGGGAAUUGGGCGGUGAUAGUGAUGAUUCUGGAGACGAUGAAGGGAGUAGUGAUGGCAGGAAGUCGUUCCUAAGGCCGAUGGGAUCGCCCUCUCCCGGGAGCAGUACUGCUGGUUCUGUCACCUCCAAUGAUGAGGAUAAUUUCUUUGGUCCUGUAUCGUCGAGUUUCAUUAGACCCGGAAGACUAUCUGACUCUGCUGCCUCAGAUGAACAUCAUGAGGCGACUUUGGAUCAGACAACUUUUUCAUUGCAUUACCGAAGUAUUGCGAGGUCAGAUUCUGGAGAUCCCAAGACUCCAACAGCAGUCCGCCUUGUUUUUGAAGAAAAGACAGCAACAAAGGAUUCUAAUCGUACUGAUUCAGGAAACUCUAUGGCACUUACAGAAUUUAAGAAGGUAAGUUCUCAAGCUUUGGCUUCCUAUGAAAAUGUUAGAGUUGGUGAAGAUUCAGAUGACAUGAGUAUGGUGGAUGCAAACCCAGAUAAGUAUAAUUAUGGAUGGCUAUCACCUACAUUAGAUGCGUUAUUGGCUGAAAGCAGCAAUGAUGUCAAUGCUGACCCUGUUAACAUUUCUGUCAAUUCUAAGUCACCAAUGAGGAGUGAGGUUUUGAGAUAUGGGGCCAAUCACAUGGAUAGUAAAAGUGGUAGAGAUUCAGAAUUUGACAAUUUUGAUACUCAUGAGAAUUCUGCUAAGGUCACUUCCAUUUCCAACAUCAAUUUGGGUCAAGCGAUUGGUGGUUCUCCUUACCAAAUUGCUUCUGAUUACUUGUCUGAUCAAAAUAAUGGUCAAACUACUGGUGUCUCCAACUACCAAAUGCAAACCCCUAGUCCAUUAAUUAGUGUAAGACAACCAUCCAUCAUGAAUACUCCUACCUUUGCCAGAGAUACAACUACAGUGUCUCCUUUCUCGAAACUGACAAAUGCCCAAAGUAAUGAUUACAUGAAGCAUGACCAGGACAUUUUGUCAAAUCAGAAAAGCAAUUCUAGGUUGAUAAAUCCUAAUAUAUCAUACAUGGGUUCCAAUAUCAAACAGGGAACUGACAACUUGAAACGUAGAUUGUCCAAGUACUCACAUUUAAGUUCUCCCUAUGGUAGUUUUCUGGAUAAAGAUGACCAAGAACUUCUAUAUGAGUCUGUGGGUGCUCCCGUUGCUUGUUUGGAGGAACAAUUUAACGAAGACAUUGUGGGCCUUGUAAAAGAUGGAGAGACUCUAGAUUCAAUAUCAAUUGGUAUACUCAAAACACCACUGUCUUCACAAGUUCAGUUGGCAUCAUCCGGAGGAAAAGUAAUGCAUCAUGCCUUAAUUUCAGAGAAUUCUGCAAAUAAGAUGUUGUUUGCUUCUGGAACUGAUUCCACAUUGGCUUUUGAUCAUCAAUCCCCCCAGAAUAAAGUCAUAUUGAACUCCGAGAACAGUCAUAUCAUAACAAAAUCACCGGCCUCUACAAUUUAUGGCAGUGGAGCCACUCCCAGAUCAACAACUCUUGAGAUCCCUUCCAUUAAAGAGUUAUCUCACAUCUCUUUCAAGGAUGUGCCAAUCCAAUGCCCAACGACGGGUUCGCCAAAUCAGAAAACUAUACAGAAAGAUUCAAUUGAGAGUCCCUCCAGGAAAAAUCUAACCGAAAGUUACCCCAGGAAAUUGAUGACCAAGAGUCCUCUCAGGAAAGAACCGACUUUGAGAUCCCCCAAGAAAGUGCAACCUCAAAAUUCCCCUAGAAAAGAGUCAACUAUGCUUUCCAUUAACAGAGAGUCAUCUCAAUGUCCAUCAAUGGAAAAGCUUAUUUUGAGCCCCCUUGGGAAUAGAGCAAUUCAGAGUUCUACCAGGAAAGAACCAACAGAGAAAUGUUCCAGGACAGACUCAUCUAAAGCAUCAAAUGGUGGUGACAUGCCACCGUUUCUUGGUAAAGAUGUGUCAUCACCGCAGUCUGACUCCAUUGGGCAUGUAAAUAACAAUCUUCAUGAGGAACAUCAUACUUCACAGAGUCCUUUCUCUCAAAAAGAUGCAGAGAUCUCUUUUGAACGCAAAAGAAGUGCUGAAUUUGUUCUUGAGGAUGGAAAAGACACAUACAAAAAUCCCAGGGUACAGAAAAGUCCAGGGCUUCACCAGAUUGGAAAUGAUGAGUCUGAGCUCCUUUCUUUUUAUGCUAAUAAAAAAUCUUCAGAAACAGAAAAAACUGUAGGUGACAGAUCACCGAAGCAUUGGCUUGAUAUUUUGGCUAAGUUUUCUAGGGAUGCAGAUCCUUUGCUCUCACCAUCAACAAAUAAGCUCAAUUUCAAAGCAAUUAGCAUGUUGGAAGAUGUUUUGCUUCAUUUCUUGAAGAUUAAGAAAUAUGAGAUGCUUGGUUCUGAAAUCCAGUCCCAGAAAGUUGCUGACCACUCCAGUGUUAGGCAUAAUAAAAGGAUAACUGAAACGAGAUUGUUGCUAUAUAAGCUAGUGUAUGAGAAAGCAAAACAGCUUUUAAUGUGCAUAAAGCAUGAGAAAUUGCUGCAGAAAAAAGGGGAACUUUUGACCUCUGGAAUUGAGGAGUCCCAAAUGUUGAAGUCAAAUUUUAUCCAGCAGUUGAAUUGUAGAAGAGACACUCAACUUGUAGACUGUCAUCUCCAGUCCUGUUCAGAUAAUCUCGAGGGUGAAUGCCUGGUUUUGAAUGACACUAUCAGUUCAAUGAAGUUGGAGAUUAAAACCUUGGAUGGAAAAAUAAAUAGCUUAAGCAAUUUCUUGCACAAUUAUUCAAAGUGCAAAGGAGAACUGAGUUACGCCAAUUCUCUUGCAUCAGUUCAACAUCAUCUGAAGAGGAAACAAUGUUGCAGGCUUAUACGUCAUGAAUUACAGUUGUGGAAAGUUGAUGGUUUCGAGAGUCAGAAUGGUCAUUACAAUGUUCUUCUCAACUAUCAGGGUUACCUCAGCCAAAGAUACAGAUUUACACUAAAUUCUGGACCAGUAUCCGGAAUAGUUGUCUCUAAUCAACUGAAUGACAUUAAUGUUAUGAAGAUAUUCCCAAACAUGGAUGCUCACAUUGCAUUUGCAUUUGUGUUAAAUGCUGAGGCUGUCAAAAGAGUUGUUGCCUCAAAAUGUCUCGUACAAGAAACUCAAGUAACACAUUCUCUUCUAUGUAAUUUGCUAGGUGUCAUUGAGGAGGUACAGAUGGCUCAGAUAGAGAUUACAAAUUUGAUUCAGACUAACUUCUUCUCUCCAUCUGGUCAGCAACUUAGUUUGCAGCUUUGUUUCAUUAAUUUUCAUACUGGCAGAAAGGUGGCUUUGACCCUUGAUGUUACAUGUCUGAAUAGUGGAGUAUAUCCUUCAGAGAUCCUUCCAUAUCAGGUACAGGAUCCCCAGACUGACCCAAACAAAUCGAAGUCAUUUGAGAAUGAAGUUAGAUCUGCAACUGAGAAUCUAGAAGUUGGAUACAUGAGGAUAAUGAGGCUCUGCAGGUGUGUUUCCCAGGUGCUGCAAGCUUCAAGCACGUAAAGUUUUUGAGCAUUGGAGGGUGCCCUAAAGCUUGAACUAUAUUGGCUGCCAAUGAAGCUUUCUGCUUUUCCCUCAGAAAAAAUAAAGACAUUUGUACCGGGUGGCAUUUUGAUGAUCAAAUAUGUGCUGACCAAAAGGAAUAUGAGUGACUGGAAAAUAAGCUACUCGACAUAAACUUAAUUAUUUACCACUGGUUGGAAAGUUGUUGACCAGUAAGUUCAAAAGGUUGUAAAAAUGGAUGCCUCUAGUAGGAAACACGUUGAUCAGAAGCUUCAAAGAUGUUUGGAAGAAACAUGCUGACCAAGAAGUUCUAAGGCGUCUAGUCAGGAACAUCCUCGACCAAGGAAUGUUCAUAACUGUCGGAGUUCAAACGAGUGAUGACUUAGUCAAGGCCCAUGACUUAUCUUGUGCGAUCUACGAGCCUAUAAGCAGAAGGCUCAUGGCUUCAUUUGGGGGGGGACUUUGGAUUGAAACUGUAUUCUUUGGAGAAACUCUGUUGAAAUAUUCUCUGACUUGCACUUGAGAAACUCAGUUGCUAAAGUUCUUCUAAUCUUAAGUAUAGGUUGGCAUAUAUAAAAACACUAAACGGAUUAGACUAUUACCAAUUCUUGAGGUAACUAUAAAACUCGUGUUUAUUAAUUUUUAUUUAGCUCUAUUUUAUUUUGUCUUUUUUGCGUCUACUCGUCGUU